UGCCCCCGCCACAGGCACAGCCCAGGCAGUAGCCACCAGCUGUUGGACACUGGCCAUCACCACCAACCACUGGCCAUUGACCACCAGCCAUCACCACUGGCCAUCAGCCACCAGCCAUUGGCCACCGCCAUAAGCCACCAGCUGUCCCCACUGGCCACCAGUCCCAAGCCAGAGUGUGGCCACCACUUUGCAUAGUCCUUCCACCAACUUCCAGGGCAGUCAAGAGAACUGCCCACUGCGGUAUGAAACAGGUACCACUGACACACAUCCCCCAGCAAAAUGAGGGAUCCCCAGUGUGAAAAUACAGGUUGCCCAGAGAAGCUGUGGCUGCCCCAUCCCUGGAAGUGUUCAAGGCCAGGUUGGACAGGGCUUGGAGCAACCUGAUCUAGUGGAAGGUGUCCUGGCCCAUGGCAGAGGGUAUAAUGAGAUGGUCUUUAAUGUCACUUCCACCCCAAACCGUUCUGGAUUCUGUAACUCUAUAAAAAUUAUUUCUUUAUACUAAUAACAACUCUUGGCCAAAACCUGAUGUUUAGUUUUUAAUCACAAGUGAAAAGCGAACUUGAGAUCAAUGGGUUUGACAACUCAGCAGACACAGGCAGCACCAGCCAACAGGCACAGCCACUCUCAGGCCAGUGUGGGCCAGAUAGCACCAUGCUGCUCUUGAGCAAACCCCUUCCCAUGCCCACGCCUGGCAGAGCACUCCCAGGGCACAACCAGAGCUGCUGUGAACAUGGAGUGGGCUACAGUGCAGUUCACCUGUCCUUAGGGCUGCAGACAUGAGGUGCCUGAUAAACUGUCCUGGUGCUCAGCUGUAUUUGACCAAGCCCAAACAAAUGCUCAACACAAUGUGGCAUUUAAGGGAAUGCCCAAAAGCAUUUCUGCUGAUGCCCAAUCCAACCUGUCCUCCAGAUGUCUGGAUGUCUCAAAACUGGCUCUCCUCAGAAGCCACAGUCUGCUCUGUUCCUCAUCCUGAGGACUGCGGGGUUUAAAUGCGCUCUCAGAAAUGGCUGACUUAGAAUAAACAAGGCGCAGAGGCAACAAAAGAGGUCAUAUUUCACUUCUUCCCGAGCCUGAAAUCUUAUUGCUUUCUGGUGACAUCCAGCAAUGCAAAUAACCUCGUGUGCAUGCAGGGCAGAGCUCAGUGGCAUCCUCCUGGCAGCCCAGGCGCCCUGCUCUGGCUGACACCACCUGGGCAGGGGUCUGGCCACACGGUCUCAGAGGUCCCUGCCAACCCCGAACCCAACCUCAACCCUUCCGUGAUUCUCUCUACUCCUAAUCCUGUUCUAACCCAGCAUUUCUGCACAGCAGGUGCACUUGCAGAAGCAAGCUGUUGCCAGCCCGCCCUGCACCGGCCCAGUCUCUGGUUUGCUGAUGCUGUAAAUCCGUGCAGUUGCUGUGUGGGUCCGUGACACGCUCCUUGGACUGACCUCUCCUCUUCACCGUGGCAGUUCCCGGGGCUGGGCCGUGCGAGGAGCCGGUGCCGUGCCCUCGCAGCGCAUGGCCAAGUCUGAGCCAUCGGCCCCUUUGUGGCACGAACAAAGUCCGGGCUGUGGAUAACAAAACCCAGCACAUCUCGGCACUGAAGGCAACAAACCCCGAGCUGCCCCACACCACCGAGCUGGCCACGGACCAAACUACAACAACGAAGUGGAUUUGAUUUCAAGCAGCAAAUAGAUCCUAAGGAAAUACUCAACUCCUGGCUUUGUUUUCAUUUUAUCAACAAAUGGUGCCACUGGCAGCACCUCUGCCGUGCGACACCAACGGCCUGAGCCCGUGCGGUUCGGCAGGCGCAGGAACGGCCCCGUGCCAGGGAACAAGACCCCUGCACCAGAACCAACCUGGUUUGCAAAUGUAGCUGAAUAAAUUAUAUAAAUUCUGAUGAA